CCCCUCUCCGGGUCGCCCCUGGAGAGUUUCCAGGACUCUACCGGUCUCGACUACGGGAAGGAGAGUCAAGCGGAAGCCUACCCGUUCCAUUUCCAGCUUGGGCAGUGGCUGGCGAGGGGAAGGCCAUCUGCUACAAGU
rnacentral:snoRNA from 1 species